AGAGAAACCAGUAUGCUGUGUGCAUGAAAAAUGCUCAUCAUCUAACCUUUUAUUUGUUCUGAUUUUUUUUUUAUUUUUCUUUUUUUUUUUCCCUGCAGAUCACCACAGAGCAGUUGUAAACGAAUGACAUGUUCUGGAUGUUCAUAUAAGUUAGGAAAGCACUAUCCCAUUCUCUCUUAAGACGCUUUGAUCCAUGAAGGGCAAGAAAGAGAAUAGCUGCAGGCAGUAAAAAUAUCCUGAUUCCUCUAAACUGUGCAAAGUAAAAGGCCUUCUCUAGAGAAAUCAUCAUGUAUUUCAUGAGUAUCCAGUGGAGGCCAUCUUGGGUGGAUUCACAAUGCAUUUGCCUUCACCUACCAGCACAUGCAAAGGAGCUCUCAAGAGGAGCUCUCAUCUGGUCACAAGUAUUCCACUCUGUAUGUUCAAAAAUAUCCAGAUCACUCUAGGAGCAUCACCUGGUUAGUGCUUAUGAAAAAAAAUGCAUAUGCACAGUUGUAUGCUUAUUUUUUUGUAGGUGAGUACAUAUGUCUAUUUUUGGUCCAUUCUAUAGCAUAACAGAAAGAGCUU
rnacentral:lncRNA from 1 species